rnacentral:rRNA from 1 species
AAAGUGGAGCAAUCCAUGAGUACAGUGGCGUACGGGUGAGUNACACGUGGGUAAUCUACCUCUUAGUGGGGAAUAACCAGGGGAAACUCUGGCUAAUACCGCAUAAGCCUGAGAAGGGAAAGCAGCAAUGCGCUGAGAGAGGAGCCCGCGGCCGAUUAGCUAGUUGGUGGGGUAAGAGCCCACCAAGGCAGAGAUCGGUAGCCGGCCUGAGAGGGCACACGGCCACACUGGCACUGAAACACGGGCCAGACUCCUACGGGAGGCAGCAGUGGGGAAUCUUGCACAAUGGGGGAAACCCUGAUGCAGCGACGCCGCGUGAGCGAUGAAGCCCUUCGGGGUGUAAAGCUCUUUCGUCAGGGAAGAUAGUGACGGUACCUGGAGAAGCAGCUGCGGCUAACUACGUGCCAGCAGCCGCGGUAAUACGUAGGCAGCAAGCGUUGUUCGGAGUUACUGGGCGUAAAGGGUGUGUAGGCGGUUCUUUAAGUUUGGUGUGAAAUCUCCCGGCUCAACUGGGAGGGUGCGCCGAAUACUGAGGGACUAGAGUACGGGAGAGGAAAGUGGAAUUCCUGGUGUAGCGGUGAAAUGCGUAGAUAUCAGGAGGAACACCGGUGGUGUAGACGGCUUUCUGGACCGUAACUGACGCUGAGACACGAAAGCGUGGGUAGCAAACAGGAUUAGAUACCCUGGUAGUCCACGCCCUAAACGAUGCAUAUUUGGUGUGGGCAGUUCAUUCUGUCCGUGCCGGAGCUAACGCGUUAAAUAUGCCGCCUGGGGAGUACAGUCGCAAGGCUGAAACUC